AAGAAGGAGGAGUAGUAUAGUAAAGUGGUAUAGUAGUAGUAGUAGUAGUAGUAGUAAUAGUAGUAGUAGUGGAGUAGUAAAGUGCCGCUGGAGUGGUACUGGAUCGUAGAGGGGAGAAGAGCGUCCAUGACGACCUAACCUCUGUGUGCGCGCAACCGGUGCGUCCCGUGUUCUACGUAUUUCUUGUACAACGUCGUCCUCGUCCUUAUCGUCAUCGUCCUCGUCGUCAUUUUUCGUCAUGAAUCGUCCUUCUUUUCUUAUUCCUAUAUAAUAUUCAUACAUAUCCCCUUUUCGUAUAAUUUAUUGAAUCCUAACGAACGAACACGACGACAUCGUUCGAUAUAUAUAAUACCGUUAACCCAUCCUCGUUCGAUUCCGGGUUUCAAUGAACUUCACGAAAGAUAUCAUUUGGAUUAACCACAGUCGGAGUUGUUGGUCCGAGUUCCACGUACUUACUUUCUUAUUUACUUACUUACUCGGUUAAACUUCGAAACGCGCGGGAUACGUUCCUGUUAUUCGUUCUCUCUCUCUCUCUCUCUCUCUUUCUGUUUCUCUUUCUAUCUCCGUCUUUCUCUCUCUCUCUCCCGUUCGCUUUCUCUCGUUCGUGCUCGUUCGGCUUUUAGACGAGGAGUAGGGUGCAACCUGUUGAGAAGAACGGACAGGACGGACACAGACCCAGAAGAGAAAGAGAAAGAGGGAGAGGAAGAUGGCAUUUCGUAUUGAAAUAUCUACGACUUCUUCGGAUUAUUAUCUAACGAACUAAUCGACUGUGUUCAACCAUAGAAGAGGAAUAACAAAGUAAAAAAAAGAAUUAAAAAUAUUACGGAAUAAUCGUUCGAUUAUACAAAAAAAAAAAAAAAAAAAAGAAAAAAACAGAAAUUAAAUUUAUAAAGACUGCAAGAAAGAGAGAGAAAGAGGGAAAGAGUGAAACGUCGUACAAAGAAGAAUUUUGGAAUCUUUUUAACGGUGAGUCACGUGACACGUUGCAACUGUGCACCGUCCUAAGUUGGAUCUUAGGAACUUCGGCAACAACUACCUGUUUACGAUACGUAGUACGUUCCCGCUCGUUAUAAUACGUGUAUUCAUCGUUGGAAUGCAGGAACGUUCGCGUGUGUUGCCUCGGUGAUUUUCACCACGCCGGAAACGUCGAAAGUGCAUUAUCUCGGUACGUCAGUGGUGUGUUUAUACUGGUGUUUUUAAAGUGGUGGUAUCACGAAGUGAGUGUCUAUACAUAUGUGAUAAUCGUUUCACGAGUAAGUGCGUUUUCGGUGGAAAACGAAGCAAGUAGUGUCCAAAGGAGCAGAGAUUUAAGAGCAAACAAUUUUUAGAAGGUACGUUCGGUGAUGCAUUCUCGACUUGUACAAGCUACCAACAAGAGGCUCCGAUCUGAAUUUUAAAAUCGAUCUAAUCGAUAUAUACGUACAUACACAUAAACACACACACA